UCUGGUCAGAUGAAACCAAAAUUGAACUUUUUGGCAACAAUGCAAAACGUUAUGUUUGGCGUAAAAGCAACACAGCUCAUCACCCUGAACACACCAUCCCCACUGUCAAACAUGGUGGUGGCAGCAUCAUGGUUUGGGCCUGCUUUUCUUCAGCAGGGACAGGGAAGAUGGUUAAAAUUGAUGGGAAGAUGGAUGGAGCCAAAUACAGGACCAUUCUGGAAGAAUGCAGUAAGGCAGUAUAAUACUCUGGUUUCAGAUGGACUGAGGUCUGCAGGAAGGCCUUACUGCAGACCUAAUCCACAUCAAGGAAUGUACACUAAGAAAGAAGAAUUGCUGUUCUGGACCCGUGGGACCUGGACCCCUCUCUAACCCAACAGCAGCUGCAGCAGGAGGAGGAGGAGGCAGAAAUUACGGAUCUACAGCUCACCUCCAUAGAGGACCUGACCAACAGACCAGUAGAUCUGUCACAUGAUGUCCCGACUUCAGUUCUAUAGAUCUACACAGUCAGCUGACACUCCCUCCCCUGUUCCUGUGUCCCUCUCCCCCUUUCUCUCCCUCCCCUGUUCCUGUGUCCCUCUCUCCCCUUCUCUUCCUCCCCUGUUCCUGUGUCCCUCUCCCCCUUCUCUCCCUCCCC
ensembl:lncRNA